rnacentral:rRNA from 1 species
GGGGGGGGGGGGGGGGGGGGCGGGGGGGGGGGGGGCGGGGGGGGCGGUCGGGUGGGGGGGCGGGCGGGGGCGUCGGGCGUGGGGAGCUGCCCUUGGGUGCGGAGUACCGCCCCGGACGGGGUGCGAAUACCGGAGAAUGGCUUCGGACCAACGCUUUCUCGCCGUUGGAUGUGCCCGCGUGGGAUUAGCUAGUUGGUAGGGUAAAAGCCUACCAAGGCGACGAUCCAUAGCUGGUCGGAGCGGAUGAUCAGCCACACUGGGACUGAGACACGGCCCAGACUCCGACGGGAGGCAGCAGGGGGGAAUAUUGGACAAUGGGCGAAAGCCUGAUCCAGCAAUGCCGCGUGAGUGAUGAAGGCCUUAGGGUUGUAAAGCUCUUUUACCCGGGAUGAUAAUGACAGUACCGGGAGAAGAAGCUCCGGCUAACUCCGUG